AUGACCAAGGAGGAGUUUCUCCCAUUGGUUGAAAAAAUCUGGCAGAGGCAUGUCAAAUCAUCUGACCCCAUUGAUGUUCUUAACAUCAAAUUAAAAUGUUUCAAAAAGUUCUUUAAAGGGUGGGGCUCUGAUAAAUUUGGGCAUGACAGGAAAAAGAAAGACGAUAUCAAAAUAGAGCUUGCUGACAUAAAAUCUAUGGAAGGGCAAGGGCAUCUUGAGCCUGACAUGCUCGAUAGGCGAGCUGAGCUUUGCAGUAAGUUGCAGCAAAUGCUUGCCGAUGAAGAACUUUUUUGGUUACAACAAUCCCAUGAGACAUGGCUGUUGAAAGGGGACCAAAAUACUUCUUUCUUCCAUAGGAUUGCCAAUGGUAGGAAAAGAAAAAAUACAAUCCACUCUUUCUCCAAUGGAGAGGAGAUGAUCGAGGGCACUAAAAACCUUCUUAAACAUGCCACUGAUUACUAUAAGGAACUCUUUGGGGAAGCUCCUGGUAACCUUUUCCAUCUUGAUCCUAAGUCUUGGGGGGAGGAUGAAAAACUAUCUGAGUCAAACAACGAUUUCCUUACUCGUCCUUUUAGUGAGGAAGAAGUUAAAGCGGCCCUCUUCUCUAUGGACUGUAAUCGUGCUCCAGGCCCAGAUAACAUACUCGCAGAGUUCUAUAGAUUCUGUUGGGAGAUAGUGAAGCAUGACAUUAUGAAUUUGUUCGUGGCCUUCCAGGAAGGUACCUUGGAUGUAGAGAGGCUCAACUGCGGUAUUAUCACUCUAAUUCCCAAAGUUAGUGGAGCCAAGAAAAUCCAAGAGUUCCGCUCCAUUUUCCUCCUCCGUUGCCCCUACAAGCUGAUUACCAAAGUUUUGGAUAAUAGGGUGGCAGUGUUUGCUGAUAAGCUCAUCAGCCACCAUCAAAACGCUUUUAUCAAAAAAUGA
rnacentral:rRNA from 1 species